UUAAAUUGAAGAGUUUGAUCAUGGCUCAGAUUGAACGCUGGCGGCAGGCCUAACACAUGCAAGUCGAACGGUAACAGGAAGCAGCUUGCUGCUUUGCUGACGAGUGGCGGACGGGUGAGUAAUGUCUGGGAAACUGCCCGAUGGAGGGGGAUAACUACUGGAAACGGUAGCUAAUACCGCAUAACGUCGCAAGACCAAAGAGGGGGACCUUAGGGCCUCUUGCCAUCGGAUGUGCC
rnacentral:rRNA from 1 species